rnacentral:rRNA from 1 species
ACCAGGCCUUGACAUGCAGAGAACUUCAGAGAUGGAUUGGUGCCUUCGGGAACUCUGACACAGGUGCUGCAUGGCUGUCGUCAGCUCGUGUCGUGAGAUGUUGGGUUAAGUCCCGUAACGAGCGCAACCCUUGCCCUUAGUUACCAGCACGUUAUGGUGGGCACUCUAAGGAGACUGCCGGUGACAAACCGGAGGAAGGUGGGGAUGACGUCAAGUCAUCCCAUGGCCCUUACGGCCUUGGGCUACACACGUGCUACAAUGGUCGGUACAAAGGGUUGCCAAGCCGCGAGGUGGAGCUAAUCCCAUAAAACCGAUCGUAGUCCGGAUCGCAGUCUGCAACUCGACUGCGUGAAGUCGGAAUCGCUAGUAAUCGUGAAUCAGAAUGUCACGGUGAAUACGUUCCCGGGCCUU